rnacentral:rRNA from 1 species
AGAGUUUGAUCCUGGCUCAGGAUGAACGCUGACAGAAUGCUUAACACAUGCAAGUCUUUGGCGAAGUUGUGCUUGCACAGCCUAGCCAAGGCGGACGGGUGAGUAACGCGUAAGGAACUUGCCCUGCAGUCAGGGAUAACAGACGGAAACGACUGAUAAGACCUGGUAAAGUCAGGCGGACUCAUGUCCAGCCUGAUGAAAAGAGAUGCUGCAGGAGAGCCUUGCGUCCUAUUAGCUUGUUGGUGGGGUAACGGCCCACCAAGGCGAUGAUAGGUAGCCGGCCUGAGAGGGUGGACGGCCACAAGGGGACUGAGAUACGGCCCUUACUCCUACGGGAGGCAGCAGUGGGGAAUAUUGGACAAUGGGGGCAACCCUGAUCCAGCAAUUCUGUGUGCACGAUGAAGGUUUUCGGAUUGUAAAGUGCUUUCAGCAGGGAAGAAAAAAUGACGGUACCUGCAGAAGAAGCGACGGCUAAAUACGUGCCAGCAGCCGCGGUAAUACGUAUGUCGCAAGCGUUAUCCGGAAUUAUUGGGCAUAAAGGGCAUCUAGGCGGCCAGAUAAGUCUGGGGUGAAAACUUGCGGCUCAACCGCAAGCCUGCCCUGGAAACUAUGUGGCUAGAGUACUGGAGAGGUGGACGGAACUGCACGAGUAGAGGUGAAAUUCGUAGAUAUGUGCAGGAAUGCCGAUGAUGAAGAUAGUUCACUGGACGGUAACUGACGCUGAAGUGCGAAAGCUAGGGGAGCAAACAGGAUUAGAUACCCUGGUAGUCCCAGCCGUAAACGAUGAUUACUGGGUGUGGGCAUGAAGAGUGUCCGUGCCGAAGCAAAUGCGAUAAGUAAUCCGCCUGGGGAGUACGGCCGCAAGGCUGAAACUCAAAGGAAUUGACGGGGACCCGCACAAGCGGUGGAGCAUGUGGUUUAAUUCGACG